AGCUUGUAGCAGGGUGAAGUGUUGAUGGUUUGAUAGGUACGUUAUUGAUUUGUAACUUGUAACAGGCUUGUAGCAGGGUGAAGUGUUGAUGGUUUGACAGGUACGUUAUUGAUUUGUAACUUGUAACAGGCUUGUAGCAGGGUGAAGUGUUGAUGGUUUGAUAGGUACGUUAUUGAUUUGGAGCUUGUAGCAGGGUGAAGUGUUGAUGGUUUGAUAGGUACGUUAUUGAUUUGUAACUUGUAACAGGCUUGCAGCAGGGUGAAGUGUUGAUGGUUUGACAGGUAUGUUAUUGAUUUGUAACUUGUAACAGGCUUGUAGCAGGGUGAAGUGUUGAUGGUUUGAUAGGUACGUUAUUGAUUUGUAACUUGUAACAGGCUUGUAGCAGGGUGAAGUGUUGAUGGUUUGACAGGUACGUUAUUGAUUUGUAACUUGUAACAGGCUUGUAGGAGGGUGAAGUGUUGAUGGUUUGACAGGUACGUUAUUGAUUUGUAACUUGUAACAGGCUUGUAGCAGGGUGAAGUGUUGAUGGUUUGACAGGUACGUUAUUGAUUUGUAACUUGUAACAGGCUUGUAGCAGGGUGAAGUGUUGAUGGUUUGAUAGGUAUGUUAUUGAUUUGUAACUUGUAACAGGCUUGUAGCAGGGUGAAGUGUUGAUGGCUUGACAGGUACGUUAUUGAUUUGUAACUUGUAACAGGCUUGCAGCAGGGUGAAGUGUUGAUGGUUUGAUAGGUACGUUAUUGAUUUGUAACUUGUAACAGGCUUGCAGCAGGGUGAAGUGUUGAUGGUUUGAUAGGUACGUUAUUGAUUUGUAACUUGUAACAGGCUUGUAGCAGGGUGAAGUGUUGAUGGACUGACAGG